rnacentral:rRNA from 1 species
GACGAACGCUGGCGGCGUGCUUAAUACAUGCAAGUCGAACGGAAGGGCCCUGCUCUUGCUCGGCUCUCGUGAGGCGCACGGGGGUGUAUAACGCGAGUAUCCCGUCCUUGUCAUUGGGGUAAAUUUAGGGGACACGGGCUCUAAUACGGUAGAAGCUCUUGAUGCACGGUGGGGGUUGGUAAGAUUCGGCGGUGGUGGAUAGUCGCGCGGCUUAUCCGCUUGUUGGUGGGGUAGUGGCUUACCAAGCCUUCGACGGGUAGCCGGCCUGGGAGCGUGACCGGGCACAUUGGGACUGCGGUACGGCGCAGACGCCUACGGGAGGCAGCAGGGGAGAACAUGGCGCAGUGGGGGGACGCGUGAGGCAGCGACGUCGCGUGCGUGAUGACGGGCUUCGGGUGGUAAACCGCUUUCGCCGGUAACGAAGCGUGAGUGACGGUAAUGGGUAAGAAAGCACCGGCUAACUACGUG